UACGUAGGCAGCGAGCGUUGUUCGGAAUUACUGGGCGUAAAGAGUAUGUAGGCGGUGCUCUAAGUUCGGUGUGAAAUCUCCCGGCUUAACUGGGAGGGUGCGCCGGAAACUGGAGUGCUCGAGCGUGGGAGAGGAAAGCGGAAUUCCUGGUGUAGCGGUGAAAUGCGUAGAUAUCAGGAGGAACACCUGCGGUGUAGACGGCUUUCUGGACCAUUGCUGACGCUGAGACACGAAAGCGUGGGUAGCAAACAGG
rnacentral:rRNA from 1 species